rnacentral:rRNA from 1 species
UACAGAGGGGGCAAGCGUUGUUCGGAAUUACUGGGCGUAAAGGGCUCGUAGGUGGCCAACUAAGUCAGACGUGAAAUCCCUCGGCUUAACCGGGGAACUGCGUCUGAUACUGGAUGGCUUGAAUCCGGGAGAGGGAUGCGGAAUUCCAGGUGUAGCGGUGAAAUGCGUAGAUAUCUGGAGGAACACCGGUGGCGAAGGCGGCAUCCUGGACCGGCAUUGACGCUGAGGAGCGAAAGCCAGGGGAGCAAACAGG